rnacentral:misc_RNA from 1 species
UAUUUAUACUUCAACAGCGUUGAUUCCUUAUUGACUCUGUUAAAUUCUUGAAUUAACAUUUGAUACGGUGCAUUUCAAGCUUUUAGUUGUGGAGGAAUCUUCGCUCUGCAGUGUCUCAAGCUUUACAAGAAAUGAGUUUUUAGUUUAGAAUUGAUGACAUUUUCUUUUAUAAAGAAUGAGUUCCUAGGAAGAUUCAGUUGUCUGAAUUCUAUUUCUUACAAUCUGAAUCAUAUUUUCCGCUCUAUAAAAGGGUUUUUUUAUGUGGGUUUCUGUUCCCUGACCUUUUCAUAUAAUCAUCCUACUGGCAGGCUGCUUAAAUGUUGCUUGCAUUGGUAUCUUUCCCCUCUCGCCUGAGCUUAUCUCAGCAGCAGCCUUGCCGUUCAAAUUAUCUUCCCAGAUGUAUAAUCGCUUUUAAAGACGUAAGGAAGCCUCGCAAUCGCAUUACACGGCCUCAGAUAUUGCCAUCCACUUUUGGAGAUGCUUUUGGGUUCCGGGUUUUUGUGCUUUCUGACUUGCACACUGACUACCCUGAGAAUCUGAAAUGGGUCAACAGCUUGUCAUCUAAGAGGCACAAAAGAGAUAUUCUUCUCGUUGCUGGUGAUGUUGCUGAGACAUGUAACAACUUUUUCUUCACUAUGUCCCUUUUGAAGGAUAGAUUUCAACAUGUCUUCUAUGUUCCUGGAAAUCAUGAUCUCUGGUGUCGUUGGGAGCAAGACCAUUGUCUUGAUUCUCUUGAAAAGCUGAAUAAAUUGCUUGAUGCAUGUAGAGGACUUGGAGUUGAGACUAAACCAAUGGCUAUUGAGGGCUUGGGAAUCAUACCUUUGUUUUCUUGGUACCAUGAGAGUUUUGAUAGAGAGCAGGACAUCACUGGCAUCAGAAUUCCGUCUCUAGAGAUGGUGAUUCACUUGCUUUUCUCCUUGUAAGCGUUUCAGAAACUUUAGUUCCAAUGAGAACAUGCUUAACAAAUUCACAUAAUUAAUAAUGCUUCACAUUUUAAUUUUUGCUACAAAUAGGACCCUUGAUGUGCUGUUUUGAUUUCUAACUCGAACUUAAUUUUUGUUGCCAGUGGUAAGUCUAAUAAUUUGAUUGGAAGGUGAAUCAUAAGUUUGGAUCUCGUAGAAUAAUCACACAAAGUGUAAUUACAGUUUGGGAAGAACACCAUUUGAGUUUUCUGCCUAAAAGACAGUUAUAUCUUUCUUUCAUUUCAUUAUAUUUUCAGAAUUUAGUAGGAUUUCUGAAUAUUAGGGAAUAAUGUCCAGAACUUCUGAGUUGUAACAGGUGGAUUUUGCCUAAAACCUCGGCCAGUGGUCAAUAAUUUCUGACUCUUUGAUAAUAUUGUUUUUGUGUGGCCUUUAGUGUCUUGCAUUAAUCUGGUGAUUAAAUUCCAUCAAGUUAUAUGCAUCUUUGAUACAGCCCAAAAGUUUCUGUUGUAGGCAUGCAAGGACUUCCGUGCAUGCAAGUGGCCACAGGAACUUUCAAGCAGAGAUACCUCCCUUGCUCUCUAUUUUGAUGCAAUGAAUGAAGAAAAUGAGGAUAAAAUCAAGGUUAUCCAGAAGACUUGUUGCCAAAUAAUCACAUUUUCUCACUUUGUUCCCAGGCAAGAGCUCUGUCCAGAGAAGAGGAUGCUAUUCUAUCCAAAGCUCCCAAAAAUCAUUGGUUCUGAUUGUCUUGAGGUUCGCAUAAGAUCAAUACAUGGAACUAAGGGGAAUGCAUCUGCAUGCCAUGUGUUCGGUCAUACCCAUUUUUGUUGGGAUGCUAUGCUGGAUGGUAUCAGGUAAAUGUAUCAACUUGAUGCAACUUGCAUGCAUGAAGAAACAAUAUAUGAUGAACUUUUUGUUGGUAGUUGGUACCUGUAACCAUAAAAUAUAAUGGCAAGUCUACAAAAAUGAGCUAACUUAUGAAGCUAAGCUUGUUAAAAUGCUCUUUCAAACUCAUUCCCUGACUAAAUGAACCAAGCUUGAAUACAAAAUUUAGAUUUGAUUAUUUGGAGAAACCAAACUUGGAUAUUUCUAAACUCAAUUCCAAACAUUCAUGAACAACUUUCAGAUUGCAUAGUUAAUUUUGUUAAAACAGUAUUAUGUAUGUGUGUAUCUGUUUAUAUUGAAUCGUACAGACACUGUGACUAGUGAAUUUUUAAUAUAUUAAGAUGUUACUGACAUAUAGUGUGAGAUUUAAAAGAAAGGGUAAAUAUUAAGUAAACAUUAUGUUAAAAUCAUUUUUUGGUUGCUUACCGAUUCAACUUGUUAAAAGUUCAAGUUCAUUUGAGAAAGUGAUAAGCAACAAAUGUAUAGUGCUCAACUUGCUCAGCUCAUUUAUGGUCCUAUGCAAGGAAUGGAGGGUAACAAAGACCAAUGGAACUUGGAACUGUAAAGUUUUUAUCACUUGAAGAUGUAUUGAGCCUUGUUAGGAACAAAAUGUUUUCUUUCUGAAGAAUGUAUAGAACAAAAAUAGGUUAUAUCCUUAUUCAUAUUUUCUACAUUAACAUGGGAAAAUAAAGGGGGAAGAGAAAAGCCAGAAAGGGGAGGGGUGGGGGGUCAAGGGUAAGAGAUGCAUUCUCAUCUGUGAAGGAGCUGAUGAUAGUUCCCACUAAUAUUUGAUUAAUUGGUGGGUAGACAUAUAUUGUGACAGGUUUUUUUAAGGAGAUUCAAGAUGCAUUUCUUCAAAUUAUGUUAUGCUCUGAAACAUGUCUUAAUUGCAAGCUGUAAAGAAUUAUGGGAGUGUUGGGGCUAACUAACUGAAGAAUGCAUGAUGAAGCAAAUCUCUAAAGCCAUAAGUGAGGGCAGCUUUUGGUGUAAAUGGAGAGUUGAUGUCAUUGGCAAGUUUUGUAGACGAUAUCAAGAUCACAGAGUAAAUGUUCUUUUGCGCUUGUUUAUGAUUUGUAUUAGGGUUUGAGAUAGGAUACCUAUUAAUAUCCUUUAGCUUUGAGUCCUAAUAAGCAUUUGAGUCUCCUUUCUUUUUCAUUAUUUUUGCAAUAGCCUUGUCUUGUAGAUUAUAGGCAUGGGCUCAGGUAGAGGUUUCUUGUAGGCCUUCUUGGGUGAAAUAAUAUUUACUUUCAUGGAGGAGUUAGUAUUAUCAUCUUCUACUCACUGUAUGGGGUGGCGGUUGGGUCCUCGUGAUGUUUUUCCAUCUUUGUUUGCUUUUUUGGUUUGAAAUUGAUUCACGUGCAAUCAAAUGUUUGUAUUAUGUGAGGCUGAUUAACCUGUAUUUUAUAGGCUACGUUAUCUUGGGUCUGAUAUGGGAUUCUUCUCUACUGCCUGGAGUAAACCAGGAUCCAAUUUUUCAAUGUAUUGAGAGAUGCUUGGCUAGGUGAAUUUUGUUGAGAUUGGAACAAGUAAACAGAUUAUUAAAGCAUAGACUUUUGAAGCUGAACAUGGGUAAGUUUCAUGGAAUAAUAUGCAUAUGUGGAGGUGAUGGUACUUGUCAGUUUUGUAUGGUAGGAACAGUGGAUGCAAAAAGUAACUAUGAGACAUGGGAAAGCUAAGGUAUGCUUUUUAGAUAGGCAACAUGAAUGGUAAUAUAGAUUCAUACUUGCUGAGGGAUUAUAAUUUUGCUAUUUCUUCCCUUAAUAAUGUUAAGUCUUCUUUUUUCUUUUGAUCAAUAUGUUUUGAUUCAGUUAUACAAGGAUGUGAGUGUCCAACAGAUCAAAAAAAGGAUGCGAGUGUCCUUUAAUGGAGUGAGAUAAUAUUAAAUAUUGAAAGCAAGCUGCUCAUUUGUGUUGUUUCGCAGCAAGGAGUAGAAUGAAGUGAUUUUUAUGUGCCAGUCGUACUAGCUUGAAUCUUGAUUAGGAACAAAGUUGUCGAUUACAUGAUCUAAUUAGUUGUGUGCGUUCGGCAUAACGUAGGGAUGUGGUUCACUCAAUUUAGUUUUGGUAGAGUGCUUCGUUCUUUUUCACUUAUAGAUGUGGUUCAUCCCUACUAGAUUGCAAUCUGUUGUUAAAAUUGAAAGUCUUAUCUUCAGAAAGAUGUAUUGGUACAUACUUCAAAUAAUUGCCAUAACAUUGAAACUUGUCUACCACUAAGAGGUAUUAAUUUGAAGCAUGGAUGCAUCUCAUAAUAAAAUUGAGAAACUCAAAUCUCAUGUGCGUGGCGUGGUGCAGGUAUGUACAGGCACCAUUGGCAUACCCCAGGGAAAGGAAGAGGAGGAUGAAUGGGGGUGAAACUUGGCUGCCAUUUUGUAUCUAUUCUGAUGGGAAUUUCGCUGAUAGACUCUCACCUUGUUAUUGGUCUGAUUAUUAUGCAGCCAAUCCAAGAGCACCUCAUAACACCGAACUUGCUCCGUGGGUUGCCAGAUUCUAUAACCGACUGUAACAAAACGCGGAUUUUACCUCUAGGAAAGUCUGUCUCGCUCCAUUUGUCAAUUAUUUGUCCGUUGUGCAGCUGCAAUGCAUAUUCACCGCGUCUCAGUAGUGCAGUGUAGAACUUUAGAUGAGUGGUCAUUUGCAUGAAUACUAGUGCAAACAGUGUUUGCCUCCUGAGUGCUAGUCCAGUGAGCAGCUUUAAAGGCCAAAAUUUGUUGGCCACUUGGCUCACUUUAAGAUUGCCAUUUGUGCAUCGUUAGAUUAUUACUGUAUCACAAUGCCAUCAUUAUUUGUCAUGCAUUUAUUUAGGAGUUGUAUAAGUGGCAAGUGAACAGUUUGUGUAUCAGAAUACAAGUGACCUUAAAUGCCAAAUUUUUACUAAGAAAUGCAUCAUUCUUCU